AAGCGCUUGAGAUCAGACUUCCUGUCCUGACUGUCCCGGCUUCUGCUGGGGUCAACAGUCUGGACGUGGAGGCCAGCAUCAGUUUCGGCGGUCGGAUAAAGGCGGCGGGAAGGUAGCUCUCCUCGGGGAGUGUUAUAGCCCAUCGCGCAAUACGGCCAGCCGGGACUGAGGACCGCGGCUCUGCCUAGGAUGCUGGCGUAAUGGUCUCAAACGA
rnacentral:rRNA from 1 species